rnacentral:lncRNA from 1 species
AAAGUACAUCAGCUUGAUCUAUGGACAAAUGUUUUUCAGAAACUUCCUCUGAAAUAAGGGAAAAAAAUUUUUUUUUUUCUGAAGGUUCUCCAGGAGAAUCGCUUUCAUAUCCCUUGUCCUUGGAUACUAAAGGAGCAGAAGCCAUGUCAGCAUAUUAUAAAGAAAUGAAUACCAACCAGAUGAGAGAAGACUUGUAUUCCAAUCCUGCCUUUCAUGCUUACUGUCCAUUCAACCUUGGGAAAGUCACCUAAACUGCUUUGAAUCUCAUUUUUGUCAUCUUUAAAAUGAGUUAGAUAUAUUUGACGGUUUAUAAAAUCCUCUCUGGCUCUACAUCUUUGAUAUUAUGAUUCUUCUUUCUCCCUCUGCUGCCUUCACCAACAAGCUAACUCUUCACAACUCAAUUUAUUGAAGGAAUCCUUUUCAAUAAGCAGGGUAACCUUCUCAGAGAAGUACACCAAACUUCUCAAUCUAUAGAGAUAUAUUAGAGACAAUAAAGAAACUGUAGAGACACA